GGUCCGCUGGCUCGAUUUCAGAGCGUCUGACUACGGAUCAGGGGGUUCCAGGUUCGGCCCCUUGGUGGAUCG
rnacentral:tRNA from 1 species